rnacentral:rRNA from 1 species
CGGAGGAAAAGAAACUAACAAGGAUUCCCCUAGUAACGGCGAGUGAAGCGGGAAGAGCUCAAAUUUGAAAUCUGGCAGUCUUCGAUUGUCCGAGUUGUAAUCUAUAGAGGCGUUUUCCGUGCCGGACCGUGUCCAAGUCUCCUGGAAAGGAGUAUCAAAGAGGGUGAUAAUCCCGUACUUAACACGACCACCGGUGCUCUGUGAUACGUCUUCUACGAGUCGAGUUGUUUGGGAAUGCAGCUCAAAAUGGGUGGUGAAUUCCAUCUAAAGCUAAAUAUUGGCGAGAGACCGAUAGCGAACAAGUACCGUGAGGGAAAGAUGAAAAGCACUUUGGAAAGAGAGUUAAACAGUACGUGAAAUUGUUGAAAGGGAAACGAUUGAAGUCAGUCGUGUUCUUUGGAUUCAGCCAGUUCUGCUGGUCUACUUCCUUGGAACGGGUCAACAUCAGUUUUGUCCGGUGGAUAAAGGUAGUAGGAAUGUGACUUCUCCGGAAGUGUUAUAGCCUAUUAUCACAUACACUGGGUGAGACUGAGGACUGCAGCUCGCCUUUAUGGCCGGCCUUCGGGCACGUUCGAGCUUAGGAUGUUGACAUAAUGGCUUUAAACGACCCGU